rnacentral:rRNA from 1 species
UCGAGAAUUUUUCUCAAUGGGGGAAACCCUGAAGGAGCGACGCCGCGUGAAGGAUGAAGGUCUUCGGAUUGUAAACUUCUGUCAUUAGAGAACAAUUGCACGGGGAGUAACUGCCCUGUGCUUGAUAGUAUCUGAAGAGGAAGGGACGGCUAACUCUGUGCCAGCAGCCGCGGUAAUACAGAGGUCCCAAGCGUUGUUCGGAUUCAUUGGGCGUAAAGGGUGCGUAGGUGGUGCCGUAAGUCGGAUGUGAAAUCCCGGAGCUUAACUCCGGAACUGCAUUCGAUACUGCGGUGCUUGAGGACUGGAGAGGAGAUCGGAAUUCACGGUGUAGCAGUGAAAUGCGUAGAUAUCGUGAGGAAGACCAGUGGCGAAGGCGGAUCUCUGGACAGUUCCUGACACUGAGGCACGAAGGCCAGGGGAGCAAACGGGAUUAGAUACCCCCGUAGUCC